rnacentral:rRNA from 1 species
GUCAAGUCAGCAUGGCCUUUAUGUCCUGGGCUACACACACGCUACAAUGGCCAACACAAUAGGUUGCUAAGCCGCGAGGUGGAGCCAAUCCUCAAAGUUGGUCUCAGUUCAGAUUGCAGGCUGCAACCCGCCUGCAUGAAGAUGGAGUUGCUAGUAACCGCAGGUCAGCUAUACUGCGGUGAAUACGUUCCCGGGGCUU